rnacentral:lncRNA from 1 species
CUGACAACUGUUAAACAUUAAUGAUGAAAGAGUUUUAAUUCCGGCUUCACAGGAGCUUAAAUCUCCAUAGUAGUAGUUUACGAAUAUAAUUUUAACCUGUCGAAAUCAGAAAUUGUCUACAUAAUAUGUUUGUAGCGUGGUGUUUCUGGACAGCUGGGGGUGAAAUGUAUUGUUGCGUCAUAAUGAUCGAAUAGUCAUCGCAUACUGACACGUGCAUUUAAGAACUCACGCUGGGACGCCCUUACACAUAUUUGAAACGUAGCCUACAGAACGUGUGAAAAGGUUAAAGAAACAAUCCGCUUAAUUUUGUUAUCUUCAGACUGACAACAUUUCUCCUGGGUUAUAGAACAACGAUGUAUAUGACAACAGUAUUCUUGUGCACUUGUAAGAAUCUUUGACAGUGACUGAAAACAAAGGUUAGACAGCACUGGCGCAAUGAAUACAUUCAUAAUGAGAAGUCAUUUGGACAGGGAGAAGGUGGAGAUCAUGUUUUUAAAGGAGAGAGUUUGGAUUGAGGAGCGAAUGCAUAAACUUCAGGCCCUUGUGAUGACAGAACUUGAUCGAAGGGUCUGUAGAUUUGAAAAGCAAUGGCUCAAGAACGAGACUAGAUGGACUAAAACCGAACAGAGUAACAAACAAACUCAAACAGAGGGAGAUAUAUUCAAGGAUUAUGGGCGAGAGAAAGAGAGGAGAAUUCCUGUGAGUCAGGAGAGAAUCUUUGAAAGAAAGAGUGAUUUUCCUCUGAUAAAGAUGAAUCUAGAGACAAAGAGUAAGAACAUGAAUAUUGGACUAAGAUUGACAAAGCAGGAAUUGCGUGAGUGGGAGAGAGAGAUGGAAGAAUACAUUAAAAUGAUUCAAAUGAAAAGAAAGAUGGGAAUAGACCUGAAAAGUGUUCUGGAAACGGACAAGGAAGACCUGAGGGGGAAAAGUGAGAGGAUUAAAAUGGAGAUGCCAAGAAAUGUGUUAAGUGACAUUGAAGAUCAGAAAGGGGAGACAAAAGUCAUGGAUGAAGGGACAGGAUGGAGUGCAAUGGAAAAGGAUGAGGUACGAUUUUUGAGAAAAGAGAAGGUUCAGACUGAAGUGGAGAGAGAGAAGAGGAGAAAUGAACAGAAAAUCAGAGAAGACAUCCUUGAAGAGGGACAGAGAAAGAUGGUGGCAGAGAGGAAGAAAAUUGAGAAUGAACAGAGAAGGAGAGAAAAGUGCCUUAAAGAGAGGCAGAGUGAGAUGGAGGCAGAAAGGAUGCAAAUGGAGAGUGAACAGAAAAGCAGACAAGACAGGCUUGAAAAGAGGCAGAGAGAAAUGGAGGCAGACAGGAUGCAAAUGGAGAGUGAUCUGAGAAAGAGAGAAGAGAUGCUUCAAGAAAGGCAGAGAGAGGUGGAGGCAGAGAGAAGGAAAAGAGAGAAUGAACAGAGAAAGACAGAAGAGAUGCUUGAAGAAAGUCAGAGAGAAAUGGAGGCAGACAGGAUACAAAUGGAGAGUGAUCUGAGAAAGAGAGAAGAGAUGCUUGAAGAAAGGCAGAGAGAGAUGGAGGCAGAGAGAAAGAAAAGGGAGAAUGAACAGAGAAAGACAGAAGAGAUGCUUGAAGAAAGGCAGAGAGAGAUGGAGGCAGAGAGAAGGAAAAGGGAGAAUGAACAGAGAAAGACAGAAGAGAUGCUUGAAGAAAGUCAGAGAGAAAUGGAGGCAGACAGGAUACAAAUGGAGAGUGAUCUGAGAAAGAGAGAAGAGAUGCUUGAAGAAAGGCAGAGAGAGAUGGAGGCAGAGAGAAAGAAAAGGGAGAAUGAACAGAGAAAGACAGAAGAGAUGCUUGAAGAAAGGCAGAGAGAGAUGGAGGCAGAGAGAAGGAAAAGGGAGAGUAAACGGAGAAAGAAAGAACACAUCAAUGGUGACACUGACCAUCUGAGGGAAUUGAGGAGGGGGAGAGGUAAAAUGGAUAAAGGUCAAACGGAAAUCAAAGAAGUACGUCCAAAGCAACAACAUCCCAAAGAUCACAUUAAAAAGGAAGACCCACAAGUCAAAGAAAAGAAUGACAUGGAUAUUCAAGGGCCUGAGCUACUGGGAAGUGGAAUGGAUGGAGGAAUGAAGAAAGAAAGAGUUGUUAAAACAAGAUGUAAACUCAAAGUUAUGAAAGAAGGUCCCAAGGAAAACGAUUCUAAAAAGCCAGACACAAGAGUGAAACAAACUGAAGUGAUUGUUUUAAUGCAAGACGUAGUGUGCCGGGCAACUGACACAGAUGUGGAAAUGAAGCAAGAGAGAGUAGAUAAAUUAGGCAUUGUCCCAAAUGAAGAAAAUGCCAAAGGGCAUGUUGAAAAUGUAAAGAAACAAGUUAAAGAAGAGACUGACAUGGAUUUCUUUGUUGAAGAAUUAGAGCAACUGGAAAAUGACUUGGAUGUGGGAAUAAAGAACAGAACAACAAAUCCCAAAAAGGAAGACAAACUGAAAGUCAUGAAAAACUGUUCUAACGUACAACAUGCUACAGAUAAUGACAAACAAAGAAAAGUAAUAAAAGGAAGUCCAAAUGAACAAAAUGCCAAAGGACAUGUUAAAAUUGUAAGGAAACAAGUUCAAGAAGAGACUGACAUGGAUUUUUUUCUUGCAGAAUUGGAGCAACUGGAAAAUGAAUUGGAUGUGGGAGUAAUGCACAGAACAUAA